AUAGAUCGCUUUUAUGAUUUUUACGGUGUUUUUUGCUGUUUUCUUCACAGACAUGAACUGUCAUUAAUGAUUCUAAAAUGUCUUCUUUUGUGUUCCACAGAAAAUAAUGACAGCAUAUGGGUUUGAAAUGACAUGAAGGCUUUUGCUGACAGCGUGCUUACAUCCACUGGCUGGGCUGGUGCUGUGGUGCUAGGCAGAUGUGCUGUUUCUGUAACACCUUUAGCAGGAGCCCCAGAUGGAGGAAGAGUGGCCUAAAUAAAUAAAGUCUCCAUGCUGAGUUCCCGAGUGACUCCUGCUGCUUUCCCUGAUGCUGUGGGUUUGGCUGCUCUCUUUAAACCCUGUCGUCCAAGUAGUGAACUGGCCCUCUUAUUUAAAAAAGAGAAAAAAGGAAGUGAAGUAAUGAUGGAUGAUGGCAUCCACAUAGGGAUGCACUGUUGCAACACACAGAAUCAUCACCUGUUGUAGAGAAAAGAGACCUUUGCUCUCAUACAGAGAUGGCCAGUGAGAGUGGAGAAGGUGAUGUCCUCAGAAAGAUGUCCAAAUGUAGCAGAAAAGAAAGGCCUGGGGAUUCUUGACCAAUGAUUGUUGAAAGGUUUGGAAGGGAUCACAAAUGUCACAAACAUCAAAAGAUCUACUGUGCCACAAAUUUCAUCUACACAGGACUGUCUUCUAACAAGUCUGCCCACCCUAGCAUCUUCCCAGCUACUCAAGUGACAUUUUUCCAUGUCUAGCCCACUGUGUUCUAAUCAAAUGUUGUCAUCCCUCAAACAGCAUGUGUCCUUUCUCAAGGCAGAAAAAGUAUCAAGAAGUACAUCAGUAAGAGACAUGAAAAGACUCAUUUUGUCACACAUCAAAGUCCAUUUUCAGGCCAUCCUUUUAAUGCAUUUUGUCUGCACAGCCACAUGACCAGAGCAAAAUGAUGUGAUCUUGAGCCUUCUCAACACUCUCCUGUGUCUUUUGAGGUAAAGUCAGGUUAACUGGUUCACAUGACAUCAUCUUAGAAAAGUUUGUUUUGAU